CCCUUAGAUGUCCUGGGCUGCACGCGCGCUACACUGAUGUGUCCAGUAAGCACCUAACCUAUUCCGAGAGGAGCGGGUAACCUUAGCAAAGCACAUCGUGAUGGGGAUAGAUUAUUGCAAUUAUUAGUCUUGAACGAGGAAUUCCUAGUAAGCACAAGUCAUCAGCUUGUGUUGAUUACGUCCCUGCCCUUUGUACACACCGCCCGUCGCUACUACCGAUUGAAUGGUUUAGUGAGAAUUUUGGACUGGAACUCCCUUGCUCAGCAAUGGGCGAGGGGGAGUCCGGGAAGCUAUUCUAACUGUAUCAUUUAGAGGAAGUAAAAGUCGUAACA
rnacentral:rRNA from 1 species